GGGGAUGUGGCUCAAGUGGUAGAGCGCUGGCCUGGCAUGUCCGAGGCACUGGGUUUGAUCCUCAGCACCACA
rnacentral:tRNA from 1 species